rnacentral:rRNA from 1 species
UACGGGGGGAGCAAGCGUUGUUCGGAUUUACUGGGCGUAAAGGGCGCGUAGGCGGUCGUGACAAGUCACUUGUGAAAUCUCCGGGCUUAACUCGGAACGGUCAAGUGAUACUGUCGGACUAGAGUACAGAAGGGGCAACUGGAAUUCUCGGUGUAGCGGUGAAAUGCGUAGAUAUCGAGAGGAACACCAGUGGCGAAGGCGAGUCUCUGGACGACACCUGACACUGAGGCACGAAAGCUAGGGGAGCAAACAGG